UACGUAGGGUGCGAGCGUUGUCCGGAAUUAUUGGGCGUAAAGGGCUCGUAGGCGGUCUGUCACGUCGGGAGUGAAAACACGGGGCUUAACCCCGUGCCUGCUUCCGAUACGGGCAGACUAGAGGUAUGCAGGGGAGAACGGAAUUCCCGGUGUAGAGGUGAAAUUCGUAGAUAUCGGGAGGAACACCAGUGGCGAAGGCGGCUUUCUGGACAGACACUGACGCUGAUACGCGAAAGCGUGGGGAGCAAACAGG
rnacentral:rRNA from 1 species